rnacentral:rRNA from 1 species
CAAUAGCGUAUAUUAAAGUUGUUGCAGUUAAAAAGCUCGUAGUUGAAUUUUGGGCCCGGAUGGGCGGUCCGCUUCACGGCGUGUACUGUCCGGCUGGGCCUUUCCUCUUGGUGAUCUGUCGUACUUGUGCGGCAGUGGAACCAGGACCUUUACUUUGAGGAAAUUAGAGUGUUCAAAGCAGGCUAGACGCCCGAAUAUAUUAGCAUGGAAUAAUAAAAUAGGACGUGCGGUUCUACUUUGUUGGUUUUUGGAAUCGCCGUAAUGAUUAAUAGGGACGGUCGGGGGCAUUAGUACUCACAUGCUAGAGGUGAAAUUCUUGGAUUUUGUGAAGACUAACUUCUGCGAAAGCAUUUGCCAAGGACGUUUUCAUUAA